UAAAUUUUUUUUUUUCUAUUCUUGAUCUGCUGUUGUUGUUGUUUUGAUUUUAGAUUUGUUAUUUAAUAGAGGGUAAUUUGGUAAUUUCCUGUGAGCCCAACGGAUAUAUCAAAACGCCCCAUUCACGUUUUGAUUUAUGGACCUCAGGAGGUCCAUAAAUUUUGUGCGUUUUGGACACUAUUUUUGCUUGAGUCCAAAACGCAGCUUUUAUCAAAAAGUUGCGUUUUGGGCUGAGCCAAACACAAUUUUUCUACAGCUUUUUCUAAUAUGCGCGUUUUCAGCUCCUAAAAGUGCAAACAAACACACACUUACUAAAAAUGUUUUAAAUGUAAAAUUUAUUAUUUAUAAAAAUAUUUAACUUCAAAACAAACGGAACUUAAAGAAAAAUAGAGGGGGCUGCAGGUUGUUUUUAUUAUGAUCAUUUAUGUUUGAUUUGUCUUUUUUGGGUUACCUUUGGUAUUUCAUUAUGUUUUCAUAUUGAUCCCAUCAUCCAAUUUUCUUAGUAAUUGAGAAAACCCAUUCCUGCCCCGAACCAUUUUGGGGUGGAGGAAAACCGCAAACCGGGGCCAGACGGGUCGAGUUAUACGUUAACUAGACUGGAGGGGACUGCAGGUACAGACCUAAAGAAAAAUAGAAAUACGCCACCAAUUGCAUUUGCAUGCUCUCAUUGUCAUUCAGAUUGACUUCCCUCCCAAUCAUGAAAAGACACAGACCCAAACCCACCCCAAUCCCAAUCCCACCACCAACACCGCCACUCUUCACCACCAAACCCCGCUCACAAACCCACCACAACCCCACCAAAAAACCCAAAUCCAAAUGGGUCCCUCUCAAUCUGACCCAAUCAGAGCUCUCUCUCCCCCUCACUUUCCCAACCGGCCAAACCUUCCGCUGGAAACAAACCGGUCCUCUUCAGUACACUGGCGUCGUUGACUCCCACCUUGUCUCUCUAACCCACCUCCAAAACGGCGACGUUUCGUACUGCCUGCACCACACUACAACUUCAGAGACCAGUGCCAGGUCAGCCCUGCUUGAUUUUCUCAACGUGGGUAUUUCUCUCAGUGAAAUCUGGGAGGUUUUCUCGGCCUCGGACCCCAGGUUUGCCGAGCUGGCGUGCCACUUGGGUGGUGCACGUGUGCUCAGGCAAGACCCACUUGAGUGUUUGAUUCAGUUCUUGUGUUCUUCCAAUAAUAACAUUAAGAGAAUUACUAAAAUGGUGGACUUUGUUUCGUCUUUGGGGACUUUUUUGGGGACUGUGGAAGGUUUACAGUUUCACCAGUUCCCGAGUUUGGACCAGUUGGCUUCAGUUUCCGAGGAUCAGCUUAGGCAGGCCGGUUUUGGUUACAGGGCCAAAUACAUUACUGGCACUGUAAGUGCUUUGCAAUCAAAACCUGGUGGAGGUGAAGAAUGGCUUGCUUCUCUUCGUAAUAUGGAUCUUCAAGAGGUUAUUGAUGCUCUCUCUACUCUACCUGGAGUUGGUCCUAAGGUGGCAGCAUGCAUUGCUCUCUUCUCUCUUGAUCAACACCAUGCCAUUCCCGUUGACACACAUGUGUGGCAGAUUGCUACAAGGGACCUAUUACCAGAGCUUGCAGGUGUCCGACUGACACCUAAACUCUGCAGCCGUGUGUCAGAGGCAUUUGUGAACAAAUAUGGCAAAUAUGCUGGUUGGGCUCAAACUCUGCUUUUCAUUGCUGAAUUACCUUCUCAAAAGGCCCUCCUACCAGCACAUUUUUGGAGUACCAAAGAAAAGAAAUCUACAAAGACUAAGAAUGGCUAAAUGUGCAGAGGAGCGUGAUUUGUAAAAGCUAUUAUUGAUCUCAUGAUCAAGAUGCAAGGGGGUCAUUUGAAGUAACAAUUCUUUGGUAAAGGCAGUGGGAUUUGAAUCAUGGUAGCAUUUGCACAAUUUGAUGGAGGAUGACAUCAAAACUGCAUGCCCUUUUCAGGUUUUAUGAGCACAUGUAACCUUAACCUCAGUGUUUUUGUAUUGCAGCAAGAUUUCUAAUUCCCAUCAGUUACCACUUUGACUCUUUGGCUCUGGAAUUUGAGGAGUGACAGGUUCCAAGAAUUUGACUCUCACAAUCCCCAAAAGGUGUUCCAAAGCUUGCAAAUGAGAUCUUGGAUAUGGUAGUAUUUGGAGGACACUGGAGCUGAACUUGAGGCCCUCUGCCAGAGUUUAUUUGACAGAUUUCUUCACUUUGGUCAUGCCUUGUCCAUGAACAAACUGGGGGCAAAUGGGAUUCAGAGACAAGCCCACAUACUUUUGUUCUUGAAAUUGUGUCCAGGGAAAUUCCCAAAGGGUAGCCAAUUUCUUCUUCUAGUAGAACUAAUAGGUUUUCUCUAGGCUUGAGGAAGGAUCUAGGUACAUUGUACCUAAAAAGUAAAAAGUUCAAUAUCAGUAAAACGUUUAAUAACAUCCAAACAAUUGCCCUAGAACUUGUUGAGAA